UUGAUAUUUUUCCUGUUAUAUGCAAAUUCACAGAAAGAAGCAUGCAGCACCAUUUCUUCUUCCUACUAGGAUUAAUAAGUACAGCUAAUCAGCAUGAAGAUGGCAUCAAUUGGGUGUACCUAUAUAAGUACAAAGUGUCAUGUCACAGGUUGAAUGAGGUGAUUGUCUCCCUCUACUCAGCUCUUGUGGAACCCCACUUGGAGUAGUACAUCCAGCUCAGGGGUCCCCAAUGGAUGAAGGACAUGGACAGGCCGGAGUGAGUUCAGAGGGACAAAUCAGUGAUGGGUGUGAGAUUUCUUCCAUUGUACUUGUUUACGCACGCCAGCAGGUAUGGAUGGCUUGACAGGAUGAAGGGAUCGCCGAGGAAUGAAGCCAAAGUGAUGGUACCCAUAGGUGGCAGCAGUAACUGCUGCUGGUGCUGCCUGUCAGUGCCGCUCCAAUUCAGCCUUGGGACCCAGACGAGGUUUAAACCAAUUGACCUGAUCCUCUGAGUCGCUAAACAGCUAUUCCAGAGUUCUUAAAAUGGGGUCGUGCACCGAUCUCCUUGCAGAAACCACCAGCAGAGUGCAUCUCACUGGAAGCUGGUUCAAUUGCCAGAAAUAACCCUGCUGUGAUUUCUUGAAGGAAGGAGGUAUAAUAUUUAUUCAAGUGCUAUGGUUGACAGCAGUAAGAAAUGGCAUUUAUAUUAGAAUAUUAAAUCCUGCUAUGUUCUCACAGGAUGUGUUUUUCCUAUAGAAUGAACAGAUAAAAACCGUGUGUGUUUAAAGCUAUCAAAACUGAAUGCCAUUAUGAUGGAGGACAAUUUGGACCAAUAUCCCUUCCUGCUAACCCAAGAAUUACCUUGUAUACAAAAUAUUUAUGUAUUCACCACCUUUGACUGAAUAAAGGUGGGAGGAAUUGUUGUCAUGAUAUAGAGGGGCAGCAGCAGCUGCUUCUGACUGCUGUAAGCAGGAAGACAGAAGUCAGGGAGGAUUUUAUCCAUAGGAGUUUCCCAUUUUUCAUCUUUGCAUGCUGGGAAUCAUAUAAGUUGCAAAUAAGAAUUUCAUGUCCUCGCAACCCUGGUCUUACUUUCUUCCUAAAGGAAUCUUGCAGUGGGAUUGCCAGGGAGGACUUUCUGUGCUGCAUUUUAAUUGCUCCUCAGAGAUCUGGUUCACACUGGCAGAAGAUUUGGAAAAAAAUACGAUUUCCAGGCAAGUGAAAAGGGAAGGAGUAGAGUGGAAUUUGGGGCUCAUCUCUACUGGUGAAAUCUUUCCUCCCUAGAGAUUGUUGUGCAUUGGCUUUUUAACUUUCUGGAAAUGCAUCUAUUAUUUACAGUCUUUCCCAGUUUAUCUCAGGCAGGGCAGUGCAAAUAUACAAGACAAAGUCAGCAGCCUGUGUGUGCUUUUUAAGAAGGACAUGAUAUGCUGUGAAGAGAAUUAGGAUCGGGAGCCGUGUGAUGGUGUGUGCAAGGAUGCAUGAGCAAUCCGGGUGUGCUGCCAGCAGUUUUAAAGUUUUACCACUGUCAUAUAAGGACAGUAAUACUAUAGUGGCCUCUGGUGUAGCAGGCCUUGUGUGCAGUGCAGAAAGUGUGGCUUUGAGGGAAGAUUUUAAGGAGGAGGCAGAGAAGAAGCUUUGUGGAGUAGUCCAGAGGUGUCUUCCAGGUGUAAAUGUGCAAAGAAAAGAUUACAAGUUAGUAGUAGGUAAAAAUAUCCAUAGGGGGGACAGACAUGAACUUAAAGUGGUGAAAGGAGGGCAGAAGAGAUGAGCAUGAAAGUUUGAAAAACAGGCUGAGAAUAUGUUGAGAAUAUAUGACAGACCCAGAGCUGAAGCUGUGCUGACUCUGUGUGAUACAGCUGGAAGAGCAAUGGGGAAAGACACUAAACGGGGCUGGAGGAAUCUGAAUAUAGGCCAGGGAACUGACGGUAGCAGUGACAUUUUGUACUGGACUAAAAUGGAUAUCAGUCAAGAUUUGGGUUGUCAUGUAAAGAAGGAAAGAGGCAGAUGUAGGGAUGGGAAAUGGAGGUGAAAAGUGGAAGGCCGUUACUUGCUGUCCGUUAUCCUGUGAGACAGUUGAGCAGUAAAUCAAUUAUGAUACCAAGCAAUUGUGUAGAUAAUGAGUUAAGCAAUGAGGCAGUUAUACAGCAAAUCAUUUCUGAUAUUAAAUAAAAAUGGGGAGAAUCAACAGCAAUAUGAAUCAAUUAUGCAGAGAACUAUUACCAAAGUCAGUCGGUUAAGUAGAGAAACAGUUAUGCAGCAAGAGAAUGAACAAAUUAAUUAUCAAGUGGACCAUAAUGCUGAGAAUUAAUUAUGCAGAAUCUUCCUUUGUGAUAAGAGGCAUAUCUGAGGCAGCUUCAUGCACAGAAAAAAAUAUCAAAAACAAAGCCAUAUAAGCAUGUGCAAAACUAAUGAAGACACAAGUCCUGCAGCAGUUGUCAGACUGUUUGUGACAUCCUCUCAUCUGUCUCUUUGGGCUAGACUAACCUGUGCUACAGUGGGUGCUGAGGCCAUUAAAGAAGCAGAGCCGAGGAAGCCUGUUUCUCCACCAAGCCUUCCUUCACUGGGAACGUGGACAUAAGAUAAAGCAAGUUCAGAGAUGACUUUGUGGCUCUGACAGGUGGGAUGUAGAAGGAGCUCAUGGUCUCUGGAGUCAUGUGAGCAGCACAGAGAGGCUCAAGUUUCUUCAUGGCCCCCAUGAAUGGUCAAACUGUAUACUUUCUACCAAAGAGACUGGAAGCUAGAUUCUCCUCUGCCUUGCAUUGGUUUCCACCUCUAAAAAGUAGGUGUCAAUCAGCAGAGAAAUGUUUCCAUUUUGUCACUUGUCUCUAAAGUUACAGCUGGAUGGAAAACAAUUGACCUUUUGGUCAAUACUACACUCCCUGAUAGUGUCAAGUGUAAGGAUUCUGCUUCAAGAGACAUCUGUCUUACUUUAAACAGAUAAAAAUGCAAGGCAGACCCCAAGGCGAUGGAAAACAAAUUUCCAAAUUUUUAUUCCUGUGGUAUCAAUUAAAUAUUCUGACUUAUUCAGGGGAUACAAUAUGCUGUAUCAUUUUUUCUUAAAAGGAGAAAAUAAAGCUAAAUAAGCUAAACCCCAAAAAUCCUGCAAGAGAGAAAGGAAUCUGUAACAUCUUUGAGAGAACCAUGGGUUUUACCAGUUAAACCCUUUACUUAGACAACACUUCCAUCUAAUCCUGUGAUAAAUUGGCUUGACAUCUGGAUCCAACUGAGAAGAAAUGCUGAACUAGAUUCUUCUAACUAUUACCUGUUCCAAGUCUAGUUGGAUUCUUAAGAUGGCUGGCAAAAAAGCCACUUUGCUGCUCCUAUUCCCUUCUCCACCAAGGUUAAGUUUGCUGUAUUUCUCACUACAGCUCAGAAGAGCAAUAGUGAAGAGGUCUGUCUAUAGAUAACCAAACCUAAAGCCUCCCCUUUGGCCAAUGCUGCAAUGCAAGCACAGAAUAUUCAUGUCUAAAACACGUCUUUCACACAAACAAAACAAGAUAUAGGUUCAGUUGAAGCAAUUAUUGUUUAUUCCAGCAAGGUUAAUGUCGUAUUUGUUGUUUAGAGAGAGGAAGUUAUAUGGUAUGUUCUGAUGAUAAUAAUAUAAACACAAUAGUAGCUAUUCAUAUGUUUUUAGCAGAAGUACUGUGAAACUAGUAACAGAAACUUCUUAAUGAAUUAGCCAAUAAUGUUAAAAAGCAUAAUAAAGAAAUAUGUGAAAUAAAAAAAUAUGACAUAAAAGUUUAAAGGAAAAUGGUAUCUGCUGAAGCAGAAAUAGACUGAUGUGGUUGGAUACGAUGCCACCAUAUUUCUGUUCAGCCAUGUUAACAAUGAUGUCAACUCUUAUUCUCAUCUGAAACAGAGAAUGUUAGCUUCAGCUCUGGACAGUUGCUCCUGUCUGUGGCUUUCUGUCACGAUUUUGGUGCAGCACAUCAGAAUCAAAUCUGGCACAUGCAAUCAGUAUUAAUUGCACAGGAUUAUCUCUAAGGUGAUGUGACAAGACCUUUAUGCUGAAGGUCAGGGCUGCUGAAGUUAGCACUGCCUUUAUAAGCACCCAGGCAUGCAACUGGGCAUUACGCAGGUAUGGUAUAAUUUCCUCCUUUUUUUUCCUUUAAGGUAUGAGAAUCAGUUAGUCACACAGAUGCUUUUUGUUGGUCUCUGCAUCUACAUAUAUAAUUUUCAUCAGGUCUCUAAUUUUUUUUUUUUAAGGUUUCUGCAGACUUCUCCACAUUUUGAUUUCAGCUAGAAACUCAGUUUCAGGGAGCAGAGCAUACCUGUGGCAUGCUCUGUGCAAAAUGGCUCAAGCUGGGUAUUUGCUUUCAAAAUGGGCUUCCAACCCCGUUAGUUUGUUUCUUUCACUGCUGUUUUCUUUCCAGACAUCUCCAUCCUAGAAUUAUCUCCUUUUAGAACUGUGGAGUGAUUUUGGCUGAAUUUAAUCUCAUGUUAUUGAUUUAAUGCUAUGUUAGUGUUAAACCUUCUCUGUUUCUUAUCCCCAAUGAUGUUUUAAGAUGCUUAAAACUAAAAAUUAUGUAUACACCUCAAGACAAAGAUGCAAAAGUCCUAAAUGUCUGCCAUCCCAGCGAUGACUGACAUUUUAGGUAGCACUGUUGUUCUUUGACAACACUGAUCAGCUUUCUAAGAGUUUUAAAGCUGUGGAUAGAGGGAGGAAAUUUUGCCAACAUGAAUCGGAAGAAAAACUCAUAAUCUUGUUUACAAAAACACAGGAAAAGGGGAAUAAACAACCUUGUUUCCUUUCAUGUAACUUCUGAGUGGGUUUUUUUACCCCUUGGCAACAAGCAAUGUCUUUGGCUGUAGCUGCAGUUAAGGAAGCUGCUUCCCUUACCUUAACUUUGACCUGCUUCCCAGCAUCCUCCAAUGUUUGCAGAUGUCCUUAGUACAUCUAGACUAGAGACUGGUUCUGGACCCAAGGCUCUGUGGCUGAUAAUUAUUAAUAUAUUGCAAGACUGUCAAAUGUACUCUUUAGCUGGAUACAAAUGAUUCUUUUUGCCUCCAUGGAAAAAUGCAAACUCUGUAGUCCAGAGAUAAAGAGUUUCUCUUUUGUGUAAUAUUUCAUUGGAUCUGUAGAUUGAAUGAGCUGGUUAUGGAAGCAUUUUCUAGACAACUGCAAUGUUUCAAUUCAGAAAACUUUAGCUUCUAGGCAGGUGCCUGUUAACUGACACUGAAGACCCAUAAAGACAAGGCAAACCCAAUGUCCUUGAGGACAUGAAAUCAAACUCCUUCUGAGCCUGGAGGCAUUAUUUGUUUAGAAAUGAUCAAUGACUCUACAAACUUUGAGAAACAUCGAUGAGGUCCAUGAUGUACUUUCUGAAAUGUCAGUUGCCUUUGUAGAAGUCACACAGACUUAGUGAGGGCUGAGAGAAGACAGUCCACUCAAGGAAUGGUGCAUAGGCAAGACAGAUGCAAGCAUAAGUUACUUAAAAUACCCUAGAUGUUAUCUAAUGCUUUGUUUCUUCUAAUCAUGACUUAAAUAUGAGACCUGGUCAUAGACUCCCUGGGGAGGAGACAUGAAUGCCACAAACUGACUGUGUGUCUGGGCUGCGACUGGUUACUCUACAGAGCACUGUAGACUCAUCUAAAAAUAGGGAAUGUUCCCCUCUACAGCUGAUGUAAAGAGUGAUCUCUGCUGGGAGGGAUUUGGAGGGACUCAGAGGAGGACUGAGAUCCAAUUAACUUUAUAACCAUAAAAAUUGCAUAAAAUAAAUCCCUGUGUAUUUGGAAAAAAAGCAUUAAAAUGUCAACAUCACCUACAGCUUUCCAAAAAUAAAUAUUGUGAGGCCAAAAGACUUGGAAGAAGACAUCUUUAACUUGUGAUAGAUAACUGCUUAACUAUUCAUAAAAAGAAUUAGCCCCCAUUUCUUUAGGAUUCUGCAAGACCACAAUUCCUUUUUAAAUAAAAGGUAGAUCACUCAGAAAAUGAAACUUCACCCCCUGACUGCAAGAUGUUAUGAAUUAAUACUGUGGCUGGAAGAAGUAGUAUGUUUCUUUUUGUUACUGACCAAUAGUCUGGGUUAUAUUUUGCAGCAUUUCCAAAUGAAAGAAAGCAGUCCAAUAAAAGAUUUUGCAUCAGUAAGGUCAUUUGGGGACAUAAUUGUGCCUGAAACAUGUUGCAUUUUUGGCAAUAUAUGAAAAGAGAUUACAGUUCUGGGUACCUAAUUUUUUGAGAUAGAUCCUGUUUGUGUAGAAAUCUUUCUCCCUUGCACUUAAGUGUCAAAUUUCAUUGCAUUAAAAAAGAGUACACACCAUAACAGAUGGCAAAAAUGCCAUUGAAUAAUUUUUAAUAAUAGCAGAAAGCUAGUUGCUUGUCAGCAGAAAAUACCUUUUCCAGAAUUGGCAGAAACCCUACAGAAUAUCCAUGUUUUUGCUGUAAGGUUCAAGCUGGUUGAUUUUGUAAAAAUCUGACAAAAGUAGUCUUUGCAUUCAUCUAAAUAUAUUUAGGUAAGGUACAGCUGCUGAAAUGAGUACCUAAUUGCUGUGAAAUUCUGCUGGGGUGCCAAAAAGAAAAAACAGAUUUUAAAAAGAUGAAAUUACUUCAGUUAUGACUUAGCCAUCUGAUGAAGCAAGGUACUCUGGCUUUUGGAAGAGCUUUGUAUGAGUUUAUGCACACUGAAGACUUUCAUUUUACAUUUUUUCAUUGAGAGUAUUAUGUAGAUUGGUACUCUGCCUGCUAAACCUUCUGGUUUGAAUAGGAUGGAUGUCCUUUUUGGAACCGGUAUGAGAAAUGGCAAUAUUAUUAUAAGUCCUGUAUUGCAGAUAUAAAGCCCCUAAAUUAUAGUUGCUGACUUUUUUUCAUAUAUUUUCAUCAUCAAGGAAAAGCCCCUAUAAUUCAGUAGAACAAGUAGAAACUCAUUAUACAUUUAUCUCACUAUUGUUAAGGUUAUUGUGAAUGUCUGAAGAAGUUUGACAUUUUUUGCUUUAUAUCCAUUUCUCCUAAAGGAAUGGCAAAUGAUGUAUGAGCAUUUUUUUAACAUAACAAGCUAAAGUGUUACUUUAUAUUUAAAGCAAAGGAAUUUAUGUUUAAAACAAAGAAUACUAAAUACUGCUCCUAAGGAAGAUCCCUCAGUGGGCAGUGCCUGACAAAAUGGCCCAAAUUACUAAAUCACUACAUCUUUCCAGAUUACAAUGCUGUGUUCACAAAGAAUAUAACCCAGAAGGUGAUUUAAAACUUUCAGCAGAACUCUUUCCAUGAACGAUUUAUAUUUUUUGUAUAACUCUAAUCCAAAUAAACACUUUGAAAUGAAACAGAAGCUGAUAGCCAUAAUUUCUGUCUUAGGAGAGACCCUAACCCAGUGAGGACCCAGCAUUUUUUGUAAUAUCUUUACUUUCCUACAGCUGUUGAUGGGAAAAUUAUCUCAAUGUUUUCCAUCUACCGUGAGUCUUGUUCUUCUUAUUUUGAUAUAAUAUUGAAGACAUGAAUAGCUGGAAGAAUAGAUGUGAUUUCUUGAUUGAUAGAAACACAGAAAAUCAGGGGGAUCUUACACACACUGAUACCACCCAUCUUUGCUGUGUCAAGAAGGUCACUUGAAAUCUGAAGGCCUUCCAUGCAGUUUACAUCUGGCCUUUAGGCUCUGCAACUCACUGAAUUCUCAAACUUGGAAAAACAUCCUAUCUGUUGACUCUAUGGGUUCAGUAUAAAGACCCUUAUUUUUCCCUGAACAGGACUCUGCUCGGGGAAGAAUCUCACUGAUACAGAAAUGUGAUUCCAGCUUUUCAUUUGCCAAGUGUAUUUUUAACUAUUUAUUUUUGAGUGGCUGUGCUACACUUUGCUUUAGUGUUAUUUUUAUAAAGAUAAUUUGUAGCUGUGUAAAAGGUGCUGAGGAUGCACUUCUAGAACCCUUUUGUACAUAUGCAAAAAUAAUGAAUAAAUAAAUAAAUGCUCCUUUCACAUGACCUCAUCAAGAGCAAAGCCAAAUUCUAGCAAGAGAAAGCCAGCUGAGCAUAAUUUUCCAAGUGCCU